CUUUUUAGUUCUGGUAGUACCAGAUCAACUGUUGCGCGUUGCGACAGUGUCUGUUUUAUUUUUGUAUAUUUUUUAUUUUAUUUUAGAGAAGUAUUAUCAUAUUUUUGUUACUUAAUUUAUGAUGAUCUGUUAGUAUACCUCAACAUUAUUAUAUUGUGUUCGGUUUACGGUUAAGUGAAAUUCAUAAAAGAUGAAGAGCGCCAAAUUGAUGAUGUGUGGCGGUCGCCACCUCGCUUCCAGGGCGAUUCCAGCUGCACCCUUGGCCAGUACCACGGGAGGGGGUGCGCGGGGCGGCGACGGAGGCCCGCGCGGUCGAGAAACAGCCACAGCAACAACGCGGCGCGCGCACCAGCGCCUCCUUCACGCUCAACCUCUUCCGAGGACACUUCGAGCCGGCGCAAGUGUUCCCCUUCCCGGAAGCGCUGUCUGAUGACCAACGCCAAAUGCUCCAAGAACUGGUGCCACCAGUAGAAAAGUUUUUCCAGGAGGUCAACGACCCUGCGAAAAACGAUCAUGA